CAUGUGGGCGGCCGAUCUGGCCGCCCAGAGCUCCCUUCCCACUCACUUCCCCAAACCGGGUCUCACGGAUCGUUAGACCCAGUCCGGUGUGUUUCCAGGCAGCGUGCCUCUGAAGGUGUUUUGGCUGCAUGGCCACAGAGUGUGGGCGGGAGACCAGAGUGUCAGCAAGCAUGGUCUGUUCUGUGCACAUGAGUGGCAUUCAAGUAGCCAGGAUCAGCCAGGGUUCUCACAGUCAGUGGCUCUUGGUGAGGGUGUCCUGCUGGAUGAUUAGCCCAAAUCUGAUCCUCUGCUAACUGGGCAAAGAGGCACCUUUUCAACGUGGUGAUUCCCCUUAUUUAGCAGGAGAGCAACUGGCCCCUUCCAUCCCCAGCACAGUACCUCCAGUGACUGCUGCUGCUGUCGUAUCUUAUAUUUAUUUUUAGAUUAUGAUCCCUUUGGUGACAGGAAUCCAUCAUUUACUUACUUACUUACUUAUUUUGAUUUAUUUUAUUUUAUUUAUUAUUUCUCUAGGUAAACCACUUUGGAAACGUUUGUUGAAAAGCGGUAUAUAAAUAUUUGUUGUUGUAGAUUAAAUAUCCUGGUUAACAGUGCAGAACUGAGUCAGGAUUUCCAUUGUGCUCAAGUUCUCACAAUCACGCUAAUGUCUGUCAGCCCCUAGGAUUAACACAGUCAUGAGAAUGUGGCCCUUAUAUAUGAAUCAACACUGAACAUACACAAAGCAGAAAUUCAAAGUAUAUGCAUCUUACUCAAAAUCGAUCAACACAGUAAUUCAGCAGAGUUGUAAUUUAGCCAGCGAUGGCGUAAAUGCAAUGACUUAUGUACUGGGUCACUGAUCAGUACCAGUCCACAAAUUCUAACUAAUUUGGGACAAAAACUCUGUCAUUGAUACCUAGAAAACCCUACCCUCUGUUUUCUCUAAUAACCAUUUUGCCUUUCCUUCAAUAGCAAAAGGUUCUUUAGGUUUUUUAGGUUCUUUAGUUUUUAUAACUCUUAGUUUUUAGCUUUUUAUAUAACUUUUAAUUUGAAACUAAAAAACUGUAAUUCUGGUUGUGCUUUUAGCUUGGAUUUUUUAACUUAUGUAACUUAAUUUGGUUGAUUUUAUUAGUUUGAUUUUGCAUUGUAACUAUUUUAUAAAUGUUGUGAGCCACCCCAAACAGUUGUGUACUGGAGGGGCGGGGUAUAAAUAUUUCAAAUAAUUAAUAAAUAAGUAAUCCAAAAUCUAAAAUUCACUGCAAUAAUGUCUUCCUUCCUUGGGAGGGCUGAUCCAUGGGGGCACAUCCAGUUUGACUCAUGAUUUAGUCAUGUCGCAUUUGUAUUAUUGCAAUGUGCUCUACAUGGGGCUGCCCUUGAAAAGUAUUUGGCAACUACAGAUGGUGCAGAAUGCAGCUGCCAGAUUGAUCUCUGGGACUGCUCGUAGUGCAGAUAUUACUCCACUCUUGAAGGCACUGCACUGGCUGCCAAUCUGAUCCCAGGUAAACUUACUUUAUUUAUUUACGGUCAGUGACCAAAAGAGAAAUGUACAAUCAUUAAUAACUCAAAAUCACAUAAAAUCCUUAAAAUAAGAAUAUAUAUAUACCUAAAAAUGGCAGUUGUUUUUUAAAAAAAGAAUACCCUCAUGAGUUUGAGACUCUUAUUUUAAAAGCCACAUAACAGUACUUAGCAACUGUUCUGGAGAUUACUGAAUCUUCAUCGGCUAAUAAGUACUUUAAAAGAAGAUCCUCGGUUUUCCUCUUCAAAUUAUUUAGCAAGGGAUGGAUUAAUUGCUGCCUUACAUCCUGGUGAAGUGGGCACUUUAAUAGAAUAUGGGCCAUUGACUCGAUCUCCUGGCCACAAGGACAUAUGCUCUUUUCGUAGGGCAAUUUGUUAUACUUCCCAUAUAAAAACGCUGAAGGGAAGGCGUUAAACCUCGCCCUAGAGAAAGCCCAUCUAUGACUGCAUUAAGUAAUCGUAAACAAGUAGGUUCCCAGGUAAAAUUCAAUGUGCUAGUUUGGGCUGGGUACCUUAGGAAAGCCUGCUUAUCUACAAUAUCAUAUGACAACAUUUUCUAAAUGUUUAAAUGAGUUCAACGCUUAACGUUAAUUCUAGCUGUCUCUAUUUGCCAGGAACAUUUGAUUGUUUCUAUGUUGCCUCUAUUUUGCCUUUUGGGGAGUUGCUCAAGAUGCCUUUUAAGUUUUUUGUUGUUUUUUUGAGUAGGCACAUAUGUACAACAGAGUUCUCCAGACCCCAGCCUCCUCUUCCAAGACUCUAGGAACUAACUGUCUGAAGCCCUACUUUGGCAUUACAUUGUACAUGUAUUCAAGUCUCUGUACACAUGUACAUGCUUUUGUGUGAAUGACUGCACAUGCAUUCAUUUUAAAAGUGAAUCAGGGUAGAAGCCUCCUCAAAUGCAGAGUACAGAGAGGAAGUGUGCUACUGAGCAUGUGUUGAAUAUAACAUAUGAACAACAGUAUAAAUGUGUACUCUACAGAGAUUGUACAUGUGUUGAGCAUGAUAUGUGAAUAGAGCUUGCAUGGAGGAUGGAUGAAUCUUGAUCCUAGUGCACAUGCAUGUAAAUAUAUGGAUGGAAAAUGCCAAUGUCAGGGGUGGAGCCAUCAUUGAGCGAAUGGGUUUGAUGGACCUGGGCCGCUGCUAAUCAAGGGCCACGCCUGGUGCCCCAGCCAUGCCCCUGCAUCUGAUGCCAGUUGUAGGAGGUGUAGCUUUGCUUGCAAAUGGGGCCACAUGGCCCCGUUUGCAGGCAAAAUCCCUGGCCAGCUCAGCAUUCGCAGAGCGGCUGAAGCUACUCUCCCUGACAAUUACUUCAGUGUCUGAUGUGGAGGUGUCCAGCAACUCCUCUUGUGCGAUUUGGUUGGAUCAAUACCAGUAUGUGACUCCUGAGGAUGUGGACAAGCUGUUCGGAAUGGUGCGGCCUGCCACCUGUUCUCUUGACCUUUGCCCAUGGCUUAUAAGCCUUAUACUAUCUGCUGGGGGGUGGUUGUAGAGGGCCUGGUAGAAAUUAUAAAUUCUUCUCUGAGGGAAGGCAGGAUGCCUUCUUGUCUUAAGGAGGCAAUUAUUAGACCACUUCUGAAGAAGUCUAACCUGGAUCCCUCAGAGUUGAGCAACUACAGGCCUGUCUCCAACCUUCCAUGGCUGGGCAAGGUGACUGAGAAUGUGGUGGCCUCCCCGCUCCAAGUGGUCUUGGAGGAAACUGAUUAUUUUGACCCAUUUCAGACUGGCUUUCAGGAAGGUUAUGAGGUGGAGACUGCUUUGGUCUAGGAAAUGACAGAGGAAGUGUGACUCUGUUGGUCCUUUUGGACCUCUCAGGAGCUUUCGAUACUAUCGACCAUAAUAUCCUUCUGGAGUGUCUGAGGGGGUUGGGAGUGGGAGGAACUGCUUUGUAGUGGUUCCGCUCCGACCUCUAGGGCAGGUUCCAGAUGGUGUCCCUUAGAGACUGCUCUUCAAAAUCUGAACUUUUGUAUGGUGUGCCUCAGGGCUCCAUAUUGUCUCUGAUGUUGUUUAACAUCUACAUGAAACGCUGGGAGAGAUCAUCAGGAGAUUUUGUGCAGGGUGUUAUCAAUAAGCUGAUGACACCCAAAUCUAUUUCUCCAUGUCAGCAUCAUCAGGAGAGGGCAUAAGCUCCCUAAAUGCCUGCCUGGAGUCAGUGAUGGGCUGGAUGAGGGAUAACAAACUGAGACUGAAUCCAAAUAAGACAGAGGUACUUGUUGUGUGGGGUCGAAACCUGAGAGAUGAGUUUGAUCUGCCUGCCCUGGAUGGGGUCACACUUCCCUAGAAAAAGCAGGUACGCAGUCUAGGGGUGCUUCUGGAUCCAAGCCUCUCCCUGGUGUCCCAGGUUAAGGCAGUGGCCAAAAGUGCCUUCUAUCAGCUUUGGCUGAUACGCCAGCUGCAUCUGUUUCUUGAGAUAAACGAUCUCAAAACAGUGAUACAUCUGCUGGUAACCUCUAGAAUGGAUUACUGCAAUGCACUCUAUGUGGGGCUGCCCUUGAAUGUAGUCCGGAAACUAUAGUUGGUCCAGAAUGCGGCAGCCAGGUUGGUUUCUGGGUCAUCUCGGACCCAGAUUACUCCUGUAUUGAAGGAGUUACACUGGCUGCCGAUAUGUUUCUGGACAAAAUACAAGGUGUUGGUUAUAACCUAUAAAGCCCUAAACAGCUUGGGCCCUGGGUAUUUAAGAGAAUGUCUUCUUCAUCAUGAACCCCACCGCCCACUGGACCCUCUCCCAUCAGGAGAGGUCCGUCUGCAGUUGCCAUGGGCUCAUCUGGUGGCUACUCAGGGAUGGGCCUUCUCCACUGCUGCCCCCAGGCUUUGGAAAGCACUCCCUACUGAAAUAAGAGCCCCCCCACUACUGACAGCUUUUAAAAAGUCUUUAAAGAUGCAUCUGUUCACCCAGGCUUUUACUUAAUAUUGUUUUAAUGGUUUUGAUGCUGUUUUAAAAUAUUACUUUAAAAUUUUAAUUGUAAUGUUUUAAACUUUUUGUUUUUUGGUUUAACUAAUGUUUUACUUUGUCUGUUUUUAUUUUGUUGUAAACCGCCAAGGACUCAGGCAGAGCUAGAGACGCUAGAUUGUAAGACCAGGAAAAUAAUGACCAUCAAUCAUGCUCUGCACCCCCGCAGUGAUAUAGAUAGGCUAUACCUCCCUCGCGGCUCAGGUGGAAGAGGAAUGCUGCAAGUCCAUCAAACAGUAGAGGAGGAGAAAAGAGGCCUUGAAGAAUAUAUAAAGGACAGUGAGAGAAGAUGCACUUAAAAUGGUCAAUAACGCGAAACUAUUCAACACCAAUGAAACAAAGCAGGCCCACAAGAAAGAACAAGUCAAGAACCGAGCAGAAAAAUGGAAAAAUAAGCCACUGCAUGGUCAAUAUUUGCACAAUAUAAGUGGAAAAUCAGACAACACCAAGACCUGACAAUGGCUUAAGAACGGCAACUUGAAGAAAGAAACAGGGGGUUUGAUACUGGCUGCGCAAGAACAGGCACUAAGAACAAAUGCAAUAGGAGCAAAUGUGGAAAAAACAACAAACAGCAAGUGCUGCCUUUGUAAAGAAGCAGAUGAAACCGUGGACCACCUAAUCAGCUGUUGUAAAAAGAUCACACAGACUGACUACAAACAAAGGAAUGACAAGGUAGCAGGGAUGAUACACUGGAACAUCUGCAAAAAAUACAAGCUACCUGUAGCCAAAAAUUGGUGGGACCAUAAAACUGAAAAAGUUGAAGAAAUUGAAGAUGCAAAAAUAUUAUGGGAUUUCUGACUACAAACAGACAAACAUCUGCCACACAAUACACCAGAUAUAACUGCAGUCGAGAAGAAAGAAAAACAAGUUAAAUCAAUCGACAUAGCAAUACCAGGUGAUAUCCCCUGCUAACUUGGCAAAGAGGCACCUUUUAUCGUGGAGAUUCUUUUUAUUUAGCAGGGGAAGAGUAACUGGCCCUAUCCACUCCCAGCACAGUACUUCCAGUGACUGUUGCUGGUGUCUAUCUUAUGUUUUGUUUUAGAAUGUGAGCCCUUUGGGGACAGGGAGUCAUCUUAUUUAUUUAUUUAUUUAUUUAUUUAUUAUUUCUCGAUAAUAGAAAUCAAAAUAAUAAUAAUAAUAAUACUAGAAUAGAAGAAAAAGAAAUAGAAACAAUAACAAAAUACAAAGAUCUACAAAUUGAAAUUGAAAGGCUGUGGCAGAAGACCAAAAUAAUCCCAGUGGUAAUUGGCACCCUGGGCGCAGUUCCAAAAGACCUUGAAGAGCACCUCAACACCAUAGGGGCCACAGAAAAUCACCAUCAGCCAAUUACAAAAAGCAGCUUUACUGGGAACAGCCUAUAUUUUGCGAUGAUAUCUAUAAUAACCAACAGUAUUGAUGAUAAAAUCCAGCCAUCCCAGGUCCUUGGGAAGGACUCGAUGUCUGGAUAAAACAAACCAGUCAAUAACACCUGUCUGACUGUGUAAACAACAACAAGCUGCACUGUGAAAUUGUGCUCACAAAUGGGGCUGUGUGGCCUCAUUUGCUAGCUAAACCAGAGCCAUGUUCGCAGCGCGGCCGGGAGAGACUCUCCCUGCCUUUUAGGCAAGAAGAGCUGCUCCGGCUGCGCUGUGAACGCAGCGCGCUGGCUGGGGAUUUUGCCUGCACAUGGGGCUGCUCAGCCCUGUUUGCAAUCGAAGGUAUGCUCCCUGCGUUUGAUGUCAGAUGCAGGGGGCGUUGCUUAAUGUCUGCCUUCAGACACAGAGGGUGGGGCUAGAGGGCCACGGUGGCAGGCUGGACUCGGGCCGCUGCUGGCCUCCCUCCACCUCUGACCAAUGCACUACUUCCUUUACAUCCUUAAGCCGCUCCUCACCCAAUAUUUGCAUGACCAAAUAGUAGUAAACAUUGCCAAAUGUCUUUGAAUUGCAGCUGAAUCAUUCUAUUAAACAUUCUCUUGUUUUUAUUAAAGGUGAGGUCAGUUACCCUGAGCAAUUGGAGAAGAGCCUUCAGCGAUGUGUAAUUGGAGUGUGUCCCAGGCAGUGAUCCUUACUGUAAGGACAUUAUAAGUACCUGAGUAUGUCUUGUGAAAUGUUGGAGGAUACUGUAUAGCCUGGACGUGGAAGAAUUGUCCCCCACUUUGACAUGCCCUCUUUGCAGCCUGAAGAAGUUACUUCACAUUGCUUCAAGAGAAGGCCAGACUUGUGGGUGACUGGUCCCUGGAAUUUAAACAAGACGAAACAAAACAAGAGAUGCAACCAUUUCCCAAUUGUAUCUCAAACAUUGCUGCUGGCAUAAAGACUUCCUAUUUCAAAAAAGAAAGAAAGAAAGAAAGAAAGAAAGAAAGAAAGAAAGAAAGAAAGAAAGAAAGAAAGAAAGAAAGAGACACACUGCCAAUUAAUUAAAUAGCAAGGCAGCUAUACCCAUGUAUUUCCAAAAAGCUUUUCCAGAAGUGGAUGCUAGGUGAAAACCCCACAAACUGCAUACACAUUUGUGUUUGAUAUUUUAUAUGUCAACACAUGUCAUGUUGAAUUUACUUAUGUAAAUCCAAAUUUGCCUGCAAAGCCAAUUGUGAGCUCACAUUAGUGCAGAGAACAGCUGAGAAAACAGGGUAUAAUUCAGGGGCAUAGCGAGAUUGGAGUGGGCCCUGUGACAAGAAGUGAAGAUGGGCCCUUGGCCACUCAGCUUCCUCCUCCUCUGCCCCCAUAUCUUUGCUUCGGAAGAACUGUAGAACAAAAAAUUCCAAACAUAAGGUUUUCUCUCUCACUCCUAUGCAAAUAAUAUCACAAACUUCUCACACAUGCAGCCCCCCCCGCUCUCUCUCUCUCUCUCACACACACACACACACUUGGGCGCACAUUUUCUCAAUCUCAAAAGCAAUUUUAAUACAUAUACCUACUCCAAUCACAUACAACAUCAGCAAUAAAGAGUGAGCUGUUACUCCGCCGGCGGGCCCCCCUCUCUAAAGAUCCAAGGGACAUGUGACCACCACCAACUCCAGCUUGUUCAAUAAUGGCUAUGCCCAGCCCCCUGGUAUAAUUGACAAAAUAUUGCUCUGGGAAACUGUGGCUCAGAUCCAAUCUCCUCCUUGACCUCUCUAGCUAGAGAAUGGGGCUACUAGUAAAUGUAGCUGCCACAUUUCCUGAGGUUAAGAACCCAAGAACAGCCCUGCCGGAUCAGACCCAAGGCCUAUCUAGUCAAGCAUCCUGUUUCUCACAGUGGCCCACCAGAUGCCUCUGAGAAGCCCACAGAUAAGAGGUGAGGGCAUGAGCUCUCUCUUGCUGUUGCUCCCCUGCAACUGGUAUUUAGAAGCAUCUUGCCUCUGAGGCUGGAGGCAGGGCUGUCCCUAGGAGAGUGUGGGGCUGGGGUGAGUGGCACCCCCACCCCAACCACACUCCUCCUUUACCACCACUCCUCAACCCUUCCCUGCUGAGUAUCUAGUAGCACAGCAGUAAGGCAUUCGAUCACCUCCCUCGUUCCAGCGAGGAGAGCAGCAACCAAACUUCCCAAUGCCACAGGAGCUUGAUACUAAAUGAGAGGUGCAUGUGUGCUCUGAUGCCUAAUCAGAGCAUACUCGGGCCUCUCAUUUAGUACCCAGCUUGCAAGCUGCUGGGAAAUCUUCCUCUCUCCUCCGGCAUGGAGAAAGGUGACUAGCUCUAUGCAAGCUGGAUACUAAAUAAGAGGUGUGGGGGGCGGGCACACGUGGGCCUCUCAUUUAAUAUCCACCUUGUGAGGUGCUGGAAAGUUUGGCUCUUUCCUGCAAGUAGAGAGGCAAACUUCCCAGUGCCACACGAGCUGAAUACUAAAUGAGAGGCAUGUGUGCACCCCGAUGCUUAAUCAAGAUGCACAAGGACCUCUCAUUUAGUAUCCAGUCCACAUGGGGGAACGAUGAUCGUGGGGGAAAGAUGAUCCCUGGGAAGGACGAUCACCUUUCUCUUUAUUCAAAUGAGGAAAGAGGUGAUGAAACUCAUUAGCACUACGCAUGUUGGAUACUGAGCAAGGGGACAAGGAGCAGCAGCUGAUGAGGAGUGCAGGGUUGGCUGGGCCUGGGACAAGCAUGGGGCAAUUGCCCCAUUCGACCCACCCAAAGGUCAGGCCUGGCUGGAGGUGGCCUAUAGUCACCAGACUACUAGCCAUUGAUAGACCUGUCCUCCAUGAGAUUUAGGUCCAUCCAAUAACAAUUGCAAAGGACACUAGAAUUCUUUGAAAAUAGAAUUCCAGGGGACUCUGAGCUCACCUGGAUGCUUAUUAGUAAUACCUCAAAGUAGUAGUACUACUAGUAGUAGUAGUUAGAAUUUAUAAACAGCCUUCCCUUAAAAAAAAAAGUCUACAGAAAAUUAAUUAAAAACACAUCAGUAAGAUGGCUAGUAAGGAUAGGCAAGCUUCCCUUAAGGACAAAUUAUCUCCAGGUUUCCCCUGGAAUAUGUAGCCGCAGGAUACUCUCAGUUUGUGUAGAACAAGCCAGGAGUUUGUUCUAGGCCACACUCUAAAAGCCAAACUGGAUGUGCUAUCAGAGUUCCAUGACUAGCACUCCAGGCAGAGGUGCACCUAGGUAAUUUUGGAGCCUGGACCUGAAGGCCUUUGGAGCGCCCCUGCCUCCCGGCUGGCUGCAAGUUAAGCAUCAUUUUUUAAAAACAUGUAGGUUCUGGAGGGCACAGACCACACCACCCAGGACAGACUAAAGAUGUUCUGAGGGCCCCCAGGGGGUGUAGAGGCCCUGAAAUCUGGCCCCGAAGUGCAGGGGUAAGAGCGCCUCUGACUCCAGGACAUCUCUUUUUUCUUCUUUUAAAAUGGGAGAGGGACUUAUAACAGGGCCGUGGCUUGCAGGAGAGAGGGGCUUAAUCCUUUGCCCCCUUGCUUAAAUUCCCCCUGCCUAAGCUUCUAUUAGCUGUGAAGAGAAGAUGUUUUAUGUGCAAAAGCUCUCCUCUCCACUUGUGGUAAAAAAAAUUGUGUUAUCAUACUGUAGUAUGUUAGCACAAAUAAAGACAUAGCACCAGGUGGAUUUAAAGAGGACUCCCCAGCUUUAAUGUAAGCCCUAUGUCUUUCAGAGAGCACCUCUCCUUGUACCUCUCCUUAUGCCAGUUUUGAUAAUUUUCCCAGGCCCUGCUUUGAGUUCCAGCUUCAUGGGAAGUUUGAACUAUUGAGAUGAGAAGCAGGGCCUUUAAACCAAUUGCCUCAAGGCUGUGGAACAAACUCCCCGAGAGGUGUGCAAUUCCUCCUGCUUACUGGCCUUUUGAAGCAGGUACAAAUAGAGGCGAUACACAUGAUGGGUGUGUAGAGCCUCACCAGGCUCUACACCCACUCUCCCCACAGACAAUAGGGAGCUGUCCCUGGGUGGCUGGAUCAGCUGCCCACACGACCACCGGAUAGAUCACAGAGCCAGUAGUGGUGGCGGGUAUCAGGGGUUAGGGUCAAUGCAUGGGGCCCUUGUCACCUGGGGUUGUCCCUAGGCAGGUUGUCCCUAGACAGGGUUGUCCCUAGGCAGGUGUGGGGCUAGGGGUGAAUCAGCAUAUGCACAGUCCCCUUAACAUUUCAAAUAAAUAAAUAAUGUAUAUUUUAUGUAAAACCAAGACACAAACAUACCCAGUUUAACACAGCAGAGAUGCACCUAUGUAAAUUUACCAAACUCCCUCUGAUACAUUCUUUUCCUUCCCACCGCACACAUCUCCCUCUGCACUCUACAAACUACAGUACACACAAACCUACAGUACACACACACACACACAGACACACACCCCCAUCUUGUCCCCUCUCCUCCUCAGCACUCUGGUGACCUCCACUUCUGGCUCCUUUACAGUUUUAUACUGGCUUAUUGCCAUGCACGUGCGUUCUCUCUUCUCUCUCCCAGCACUGGUGCACUGGAGCUUCCGGCAGAAGUCUCUCCCCUGGUUUUCCCGUUGGAUAAGGAAGCCUGUAGGGAGCCGGAGAUGGAAGGAGGCAGAAGGGAAGGCAAGCUGCUUGAAAGCCUUCUCCAAGCUAAAGACAUCAGAAGUGGUGGGGGCUGGGGUGACAAUACAAAUGUGCCUGCAAGCCUGUGCCUCCUCUUAUCGCUUUCUGGGCUCUACUGCAGUCCAGAUGCCUGCCAUCCACCACCGCCUCCUUCUCCUCCACCACCUCCACCUCCACUUGCCUGCUAAGAGCUGUGCUGGGAGCCUGCCAACUAGCCAGCCAGCCAGCCGCCUGCCUGCCAGCCAGCCAGCCAGCAACCACACCACUUCCUUCUCCACCUCCGUCCUCCGACUGGCUCCAUCUGUAGUAGAUCUCGACAGAAGUCUUGUGAGAUGAGACUCUUUGAACUCUCAUGAGACUUCGGAUGAGAUUUACAGCAGCAGCAGGAGGAGGAAACCCGGCCAGAGAGGCAGAGGAGAAGGAGGAGGUGCAGUGGUGAUGGCGGUGGUGACCUUGUCGUGUGGAGGAGGAAACCGGGAGUGUGCUGCUUCUGCUGCUGCCAACACCACCAUGGGGCCCCUCCAGGCGAGGGGCCCGGUGCAACUGCACCGGCCACCCUGCCUUAAGGAUGGACUUGUAGGGAGACCCCAAUGGCCGGGAGGCUUGUUGUAACCUCCUGGUCGGGGGUCUGCUUGUGUGUUGCCACUGCACGGAGCCACGCCAUGGCGGCACACGAUCAGUAAAACACAGUUAGUGGAGCACUCGCUCCACUAACCUUGUUUUAGGGGAGGGGUGCUUAGGUGGGCUAGCCGCUGUUGAACCACGAGCCCGGGGGUUCUCACGAUUGGGAGUGUGUGGAAACCAGGCUGGGCUACCUUAGCCUAGUUUCUCUCCAUCAUGAGAAUCAUAGUAUCUCUUCCACACUUUAGUCGGGAGCUUAGUGCAAAAAUGUUUCACUUCUGGCUACCUGGCAGCUGCAUAUUUUAGACAGCAAUUCUAUGCAUACGGAAUUGCAAAUCAUCCAGGAGACAUGCUCUCACACAGCCCAGAUAUGACCAAACUACAUAGGACGUUAAAUGCAGUGGAGGCCUUGACAGGCUUCCGUUUCCUUGACAAACAUCAGCUGGAUUGCCCUCCCUGCAAUGAACUGGACUGUAGUGGGAGGGUGUGGGUAGAGAGGUUUUAACCCUAUGCCUGCCACAGUCCUGAUCUGAAUGGAAUCCUACCAUGGCUGCUAUUUGCCAAGGAAGAGACAAGAAAGUUCCCUUUGGUGCCCAUUAGAGCUUUUCUUCUUUCACAAAUAACUCAGUUAAGAUUGUGAGGAGAUCGCAUUAAAAGCCCCACUAGCCGCCGCCACCCCACCCCCCCACACCCGUGGUCCUGAUCUUUGGGUGGUCAUUCUGGCUGGUAUUUUUUUAAAAAAAAUGGAAGCCAUUCAGGUCAGUGAGGUGUAUUUAAUACUCAGGCAGUUUGGCACUAAGACUCACUGAAAUGAAGAGGACAACUCAGGAGUAUAUUUGCACCUUAACGGUAAAGACCAUCACAUCUGGGAUAUUCAAACAUAUCUUCUCAACUAAUCUUUGCUACGUGAGCCAGACAGAUCCUUUCACUGAUGGCUUUAUUGUCAUAUCUAUUGAGUAUAACACUGGGGACAUAACCUUCAAAUGUAAGCACAACCUCACGGUCAUUGUUAUCUUCACAAAGACCUGGAAUAAAUAUGAGAAAGUC